UACGGAGGUGGCGAGCGUUGCUCGGAUUCAUUGGGUGUAAAGGGUCGGUAGGCGGUUUGGUAAGUGCCCGGUGAAAUUCUACGGCUCAACCGUAGAACGGCCGGGUAGACUGCCGAACUUGAGGACUGGAGGGGCAGGCGGAAUUCCCGGUGUAAGGGUGAAAUCUGUAGAUAUCGGGAGGAACACCAGUAGCGAAGGCGGCCUGCUGGACAGUCCCUGACGCUGAGCGACGAAAGCGUGGGGAGCAAACAGG
rnacentral:rRNA from 1 species